UGAAAGCUGUGGUUCAGCUGGAGGAGACAGUGAAGAGAUGAAAAAGCUGCUCGCUGAGUCUGAGCUGAAGAGGGUCCAGCAGUAUGCAGUGGAUGUGACUCUUGAUCCUGAUACAGCAUAUCCCUAGCUCAUGCUGUCUGAUGGGAAACAAGUGAAUCACGGUGAUGUAAAGAAGAAUCUCCCAGACAACCCAGAGAGAUUUUCUAAGUGUGUUAGUGUUUUAGGAAAACAGAGUUUCUCUUCAGGCAGAUUUUACUUUGAGGUUCAAGUUAAAG